ACACCUUCGGGUUGUGAGGUUAAGUGACUAAGCGUACACGGUGGAUGCCUAGGCAGUCAGAGGCGAUGAAGGGCGUGCUAAUCUGCGAUAAGCGUCGGUAAGGUGAUAUGAACCGUUAUAACCGGCGAUACCCGAAUGGGGAAACCCAGUGCAAUUCGUUGCACUAUCAUACGAUGAAUACAUAGUCGUAUGAGGCGAACCGGGGGAACUGAAACAUCUAAGUACC
rnacentral:rRNA from 1 species